CGUAUACAGCUGCGUUCCCUUCCGCUUCUAGGUCCCACCUCCAAUUUUUCAUCUUUGAUUUUGUUGCCAUUUUUGCCCUUGUCUUCACUUGUGAUUGUUUUGAGUUUCCGAAAUUGCCCUUUAAGACUUUUUGCAUUUCGAAUUCGCGUUCGACGUUGUUAGUGGACCGGCCCAAACUUAACCCGCCAACAUAAUUAGCACCAAUUUCUG
rnacentral:misc_RNA from 1 species